rnacentral:lncRNA from 1 species
UUCGAACAGGGUGUUAAAGGCCACCUAUUUGAUCAAAAUCCGGAUUGAUUUUCAUGUACGUGAUUCCUCCCUUUCCUCUAGUCUUGUCUUACCAAGUAUCCCCUUUCUUUGAAAUUUCCCAAAAUAUAAUCUACUUCUCCAAUAGGCUAGAUUUUCUAUUGCGGAGGAAUCGAUAUUGGUUAUUUCAAUGUUGUGGUGCAGAACUACUAACACCCUUUCUUCAAUUAAUUUACGUGAUUUACUACAUAUAAUGUUCUUUUUUUUUUUCAUUUUUUGUUUUGACUUUUUGAUGGGAAAAUGGAUUUAAGUACUAUAGUUUCUCUCUCUCUCUCUCUCUCUCUCUCUCUCUCUCUCUCUCUCUCUCUCUCUCUCUCUUCUUAUUUAUUUUUGAGUUCAAUGUCAUUAUAAAUUUCUUUUUUCAUUUUAUGCUGUGGAAUGUUCUCUAUCUUUCCCUUUUUCUGGAGAGGCUCAAGUUUUCCUCUGCCGACUACCUUUCCGAUGGAGAGGAAUUGCAAACCGCACCCUUUUCUCAUAAUCAUUGAUAUAAUCUAGUGCACAGCUUUUUAAUACUUUUUCUCAAUUUUCAAAAUUUAAAUAUUUUAUUUUCUCUCUCUUUCUUUCUUCUUGUUCAUUUAUGAGUUUAGUGUCUUUAUUAAUUUAUUCUGUGAAUGAGCUGAUCUCUAUGUUCUUUUCAUUUUUCAUUUCCUGGUUUUGGAGGUUGUCUUGAAUUUCCCCUUUUUUGAAGAGGGUUUCCAGAUAAAGCUGUAGGUAUAUAUGUUUGCAAAUGUUUAAAUUCCAAAUUUCACGUUGAGAGCCACAAUAAGUUGGAAGGAAGUAGAACUGCAAAGUAAUUUACAUUAUUGUACACUGAAUUAGUAUCAUGGACGAAUUAGCUUUGUGUUUCUGACUACACUGAUCAAGUGUUGUUCGUCAAUAUUUCUCAGGUUACUAAACAAAUUUGCUGCUGCAAGAGAGGUGAUGUUGCAAAACAAGUGUUAAUUGAAGCCCUGUCCUCCAGUACCAAAUUUCCUCCCAAGACGUGCUUCUUCUUUAGCUGUAUUACAGUUGCUGUUUUUUGUCAUGUUUGGCCUUUUAUUCCUACCUAGAUCAUGUUUUUUCAGUGCUUGAUUGUAACUGGAGCAGCGAUACAGUUUUUUGUGACUAUUCCAUGAUUAGCAACAAAAUUGUUUUGAGGUAUUAUGCUAAAAUUUUUGGUCAUAUUGUACUCCAAGAAUGUGAUUUCGCUCAAUCAAUUUAAGUCUUUCUAUGUGUGUGCUUUUU